UCUUUCAUUUGAGCCUCCCCCCCACCCCUCCUUCCUCUCCCCUCUCUAUCGUUCUCUCCCCCUCUCUGCAGCACUGAGCACUAAUGACUGAUGAUGGGAAGGGAGGAAAUAAAAUCCAGGAAACUGUCUCCUUCAGGAAAAUCCUUGCAGGGACCGAGAAACCCAACAUGCCACUCAUCAUGCAGCUGUGAUGCUUCACUUCGCUGUGGGGAUGGUCUCCUGACCUGCCGGAUGUGUCCCGAGGCAAGUGAUUGGCUUUAGGGAUCAACCGAAUCUACAAACGUUGCCAUGGAGACGCUUUGAACCCAACCGGGGUUGCAUCGACUCCGAGGGCGCGUCCGCCCCCCCUGGUCUGCAGCCCCUGCAGGACCCCGCCGAUCCUGAGCAGCUUGUCUCGGUGAUCUCUCCGAGAGGACGGCGAGAGUGAUCGGAUGCUGCCGGAGGCGGCGGCGGCGGCGGCUGUGACAGCACCGGAGAGUCGUCUCCAUGGCAACCGGCAAGCUCGCAUAGAGGAAGAAGCAUUAACGGGUGGCUGAGGUGACUGCGAGCAUCAUCACUCUACCUCCUCUUCCUCUCUCUCCGUCGGUCCCUCCGCACGCAAACGCAGAGCUUCUGCUCUCUGGUCCAUGACCUUCAGAAAAUGGUGGCCGUAAAAAAAAAAAAAAAAAAAAAAGAGAGUAGAAGCAACACGCACACACGU